GGUUGUGGCUCAGUGGUAGUGCUCUCGCUUUGCAUGUGCGAGAUCCUGGGUUCGAUCCUCAGCACCA
rnacentral:tRNA from 1 species